rnacentral:rRNA from 1 species
AGAAUCAACGCUGGCGGCGUGCCUAACACAUGCAAGUCGCACGAGAAAGGGACUUCGGUCCUGAGUACAGUGGCGCACGGGUGAGUAACACGUGAAUAAUCUGCCUCCGAGUGGGGAAUAACUGAGAGAAAUCUUAGCUAAUACCGCAUAACACUUACGAGUCAAAGCAGCAAUGCGCUUGGAGAGGAGUUCGCGGCCGAUUAGUUAGUUGGCGGGGUAAUGGCCCACCAAGACGAUGAUCGGUA